rnacentral:rRNA from 1 species
UACGGAGGGUGCAAGCGUUGUCCGGAUUUAUUGGGUUUAAAGGGUGCGUAGGCGGCCCGGUAAGUCAGUGGUGAAAGCCCAUCGCUCAACGAUGGAACUGCCAUUGAUACUGCCGGGCUUGAGUACAGACGAGGUAGGCGGAAUUGAUGGUGUAGCGGUGAAAUGCAUAGAUACCAUCAAGAACACCGAUUGCGUAGGCAGCUUACUAGGCUGUAACUGACGCUGAGGCACGAAAGCGUGGGGAGCGAACAGG